GAGGUUAUAGUUUAAGUGGUAAUAAGUAUGCUUAGCAUGCACAAGGUCCUGGGUUCAAUCCCCAGUACCUCCU
rnacentral:tRNA from 1 species